GAUGAACGCUGACAGAAUGCUUAACACAUGCAAGUCAACUUGAACUUCGGUUUGGGUGGCGGCCGGGUGAGUAACGCGUAAAGAACUUGCCUCACAGAUAGGGACAACAUUUGGAAACGAAUGCUAAUACCUGAUAUUAUGAUUAUAUGGCAUCGUAUAAUUAUGAAAGCUAUAUGCGCUGUGGGAGAGCUUUGCGUCCCAUUAGCUAGUUGGAGAGGUUACGGCUCACCAAGGCGAUGAUGGGUAGCCGGCCUGAGAGGGUGAUCGGCCACAAGGGGACUGAGACACGGCCCUUACUCCUACGGGAGGCAGCAGUGGGGAAUAUUGGAAAAUGGACCAAGAGUCUGAUGCAGCAAUUCUGUGUGCACGAUGAAGUUUUUCGGAAUGUAAAGUGCUUUCAGUUGGGAAGAAAAAAAUGACGGUACCAACAGAAGAAGUGACGGCUAAAUACGUG
rnacentral:rRNA from 1 species